CACGUAGGCACCAAGCGUUGUCCGGAUUUAUUGGGCGUAAAGAGCUCGUAGGCGGUUCAGUAAGUCGGGUGUGAAAACUUUGGGCUUAACCCAAAGCGUGCAUCCGAUACUGCUGUGACUUGAGUUCGGUAGGGGAGUGGGGAAUUCCUAGUGUAGCGGUGAAAUGCGCAGAUAUUAGGAGGAACACCGGUGGCGAAGGCGCCACUCUGGGCCGAAACUGACGCUGAGGAGCGAGAGCAUGGGUAGCAAACAGG
rnacentral:rRNA from 1 species